UCACCUGAUGAACUCAAUUUUUUCGCUGUGUUCUUGCUGAACUACAUUGAAGAAACAAAAAAUUUCACCUUGGAGAACUGAUAU
rnacentral:snoRNA from 1 species